UAUAAAGUAAAGAUCUGACAACACUAGCUAUUGUAUACAACGUCAAACAGUAGUAUCAAAUUAACAAAUAAAACUGUGUUUUAGUUGUUAUUUGUUUCUUGUGACUUGAGAAACGUGAUUUUUAUGUGUUACAAAUAUCAAUAAGUACAGUUGUGCUCAGAUGAUGAACAAAAUUAAUUGAAAAGAAAAUAUAGCAAUACCCAUAUUAUCUUGUACUACGGAUAAUGCGUGUGGAAUUGCAUGCCUAGUAUUAAAUCUACUUGUAUUCUGAUUGCUAAAUAUCUCGAAACAGGACAUAAAGUAAGACGCUAUGACGAAGAUAUAUCACGAUUAUUACGAUGGCAGUAAAAUUUUCCUAUUUCUGUCCAAUAGAAUUGGUCUUCCUUUGGACUUAGUAAGUACUUUGCUCUAAUACUUUUUAACAAUACUAAAAUAAUUUUACAGUGAAAGAUUUUUUUACAGCAGUUUCACUAUACAUAGUAGAACUUUUUAUGGGAUAGGUCUUAAAUUAAACAGACUGAAUUUGGAAAUUUUGCCACUGUGGGAGGGUCUAGGGCAGUCAUGCUCAGCCUUUUUUUAUAUGAGCACAACAAUGUUUCAGUGCGAAGAGUAGGGCAUAAAGACAUGAAUUGUUGAUCUACAUAAGUGCCUAAAACUUAAUUCAAAGUUUAAAUUGUAUUAAAAUAUUAUUAUUAUAAGGUUAGCAUACAGCUCGAGGAAUCUUGUGAAAAAUUAUAGCAAAUUUUUUUCAUAUAUUAUUUCAUUUUUAAAAAUGACUGCAAGUUCGUCCAAAGGCAGUUACAAUUAUUGUGAUUGUGAAACAUAAUUAAUUGGUACUUUAAGAUACUACCUACUUUGGUAUUAUAUGUAGGUUUUAUUUAUAACCACCCAGAAACCCUUUUGUUGACAGAAGACUACAAAACCCUCCCCACACCUACUCCACCCUCCCAAUUCAAUCUAUUUCAUUUAAAAAAUAUGCCCAUUAAUUGUAGAAGUUGCUUUUAGAGCAAUUUAUAUUAUUAUUUUAAUAUUAUAUCCAGUAUUCAAUACAGUAAUAUUAUUUCUUUUAACAAAUUAUUUUUCUUAUCAAAGGUAGUGUUAAUGCUAUCAAUAAGUCAUCAUUUUCAAUGUCUGAUUGUAGACUGUGUCGUUUUCUAAACAAUAACUCCAUGCUAUGUUAUCUAGAGCAGUAACAAUAAAUAUAUAAAAGUGUUAACAUUAGGUAUAUUAAAUUAAUCACUUUAUUAUAGCGAAUUCAACAAACUAUGAGUAAGAUAAUAAUCUUAAUAGAAUUUGAAAAAAAAAAACACAUUUUCCAAUAUUUUUUUUUUUUUUUAAUAACAGAAACAAGUACAGUUUUGUUGUCCAUAUUUUUAGAUGUGUGCCUGGGUUAUUGAACUAACAACCUUUUUCUGUGAGAAACAAACGCUUCAGCUUUAUAUCUUUAUCUAUUUAGAUAAAUAUCUAUACUUAUUAUCAAAGCUGAAGAGAUUAUUUAUUUGUGGGUUUGUUUAAACGCAUUGAUCCAGGAACCACGGGCUCAAAUUAAAAAUCGUUUUAGUGUUGAGUAGUCCAUUUAUCGAGGAAGGCUAUAUAACGUCACACUAUUACCAAUAGGAGCACAGCAUAAAUUAAAAAUGUUGCAAAAGUGCAGAAAAUGAGACUUUUUGUUGAGUGCACUGCGUAAACUAUUUAAGUUACCUAACAAUCCAGAAUUAUUUGUCUUAAAAAGUUCCAAAAAAUAUAAAACAAGUCCCGCCGCAUCUGUUUGCUUAUUUAACGCGAUAAACUAAAAAACUACCCAACGGAUUUUGAUGAAUUUGGUAAGGAUAUAGUUUGAGACCCUGGGAAGGACAUAGGAUAUUUUCUAUCCCGGGAAAAUAUAUAGCUGGAGUUUUAUCCCGGAAAACUUUUAUGCGGACGAAGCCACGAGUAAAAGCUAGGAAUAGUAUAGAUAGAUAGAUAGAUACAAAAGAAAAUUAAAUCAAUUAGAAAUAUUAACGUUCAAUCAAUGGUAAUAGCAGGUCCGCCACAUACCUACGAAAGUCCGUUUAGGUAUGUACCACCACAUUGUCUAUGGCUGCCGCCAAGCAGCAGUGUGCAAGCGGUGGGGGUUCAAUGGUAUAAUACCAAUGGCUUGUUUCACAAA
rnacentral:lncRNA from 1 species